rnacentral:rRNA from 1 species
AGUCGAGCGAGUCUGCCUUGAAGAUCGGAGUGCUUGCACUCUGUGAAACAAGAUACAGGCUAGCGGCGGACGGGUGAGUAACACGUGGGUAACCUGCCCAAGAGAUCGGGAUAACACCUGGAAACAGAUGCUAAUACCGGAUAACAACAGAUGAUGCCUAUCAACUGUUUAAAAGAUGGUUCUGCUAUCACUCUUGGAUGGACCUGCGGUGCAUUAGCUAGUUGGUAGGGUAACGGCCUACCAAGGCGAUGAUGCAUAGCCGAGUUGAGAGACUGAUCGGCCACAUUGGGACUGAGACACGGCCCAAACUCCUACGGGAGGCAGCAGUAGGGAAUCUUCCACAAUGGACGCAAGUCUGAUGGAGCAACGCCGCGUGAGUGAAGAAGGGUUUCGGCUCGUAAAGCUCUGUUGUUGGUGAAGAAGGACGGGGGUAGUAACUGACCUUUGUUUGACGGUAAUCAAUUAGAAAGUCACGGCUAACUACGUGCCAGCAGCCGCGGUAAUACGUAGGUGGCAAGCGUUGUCCGGAUUUAUUGGGCGUAAAGCGAGUGCAGGCGGUUCGAUAAGUCUGAUGUGAAAGCCUUCGGCUCAACCGGAGAAUUGCAUCAGAAACUGUCGAGCUUGAGUACAGAAGAGGAGAGUGGAACUCCAUGUGUAGCGGUGAAAUGCGUAGAUAUAUGGAAGAACACCGGUGGCGAAGGCGGCUCUCUGGUCUGUUACUGACGCUGAGGCUCGAAAGCAUGGGUAGCGAACAGGAUUAGAUACCCUGGUAGUCCAUGCCGUANACGAUGAGUGCUAAGUGUUUGGGAGGGUUCCGCCUCUCAGUGCUGCAGCUAACGCAUUA